rnacentral:rRNA from 1 species
UCAAGCGCGUAAGAGCAUUUGGUGGAUGCCUUGGCAUAAAGAGGCGAUGAAGGACGUGAUAGACUGCGAUAAGCUCGGGCUUGCUGUCAAUAAGCUUAACCCGAGAUUUCCGAAUGGGGAAACCCGAUUACUUAUAAGUGAAUUCAUAGCUUAUAAGGGCGAACCUAGGGAACUGAAACAUCUAAGUACCUAGAGGAAAAGAUAUUCCGUUAGUAGUGGCGAGCGAACGCGGACCAGGCCAGUGCUACUUUUUACUAAACCAGAACUGUAUGGAAAGGCAGGCCAUAGUGAGUGAUAGCCUCGUAUGGGUAGAUAGUAAAAAAUAGACAUGAGUAGGGCGGGACACGUGAAAUCCUGUCUGAAUAUAGGAAGACCACUUCCUAAGCCUAAAUACUACUUUAUGACCGAUAGUGAACCAGUACCGUGAGGGAAAGGCGAAAAGAACCCCUAGCAGGGGAGUGAAAUAGAUCCUGAAACCGGAUGCUUACAAGCAGUUGGAGCCUCUUUGUGAGGUGACAGCGUACCUUUUGUAUAAUGGGUCAGCGACUUAAUCUCAUUAGCAAGCUUAAGCCAUUUAGGUGUAGGCGAAGCGAAAGCGAGUCUGAAUAGGGCGAUUUAGUUAAUGGGAUUAGACUCGAAACCGGGUGAUCUAGUCAUGAGCAGGUUGAAAGUGAAGUAAAAUUCACCGGAGGACCGAACCCACUAGCGUUGAAAAGCUACGGGAUGACUUGUGAUUAGGGGUGAAAGGCCAACCAAACUCGGAAAUAGCUAGUUCUCCGCGAAAACUAUUUAGGUAGUGCGUCGUGCGAAUCUUGUCGGGGGUAGAGCACUGAAUGGGCUAGGGGGAAGCAAUUCCUACCAAACCUAAUCAAACUCCGAAUACCGAUAAGUCUACACGGCAGACAGUCCAUGGGUGCUAAGGUCCUUGGACGAGAGGGAAACAGCCCAGAUCAACAGCUAAGGUCCCCAAAUAAUGAUUAAGUGUGAAAGGGAGUGGGAACUCCAAGACAGCCAGGAGGUUGGCUUAGAAGCAGCCAUCCUUUAAAGAAAGCGUAACAGCUCACUGGUCUAAUUAAGAGAUCCUGCACCGAAAAUGUAACGGGGCUAAAAUCAUUUACCGAAGCUUUGACAAUUACUUUUAGUAAUUGGGUAGCGGAGCGUUCUGUAAGCCUGUGAAGGUGAUGCGUAAGCAUUGCUGGAGGUAUCAGAAGUGCGAAUGCUGACAUGAGUAACGAUAAGAAAUGUGAAAGACAUUUCCGCCGAAAUCCUAAGGUUUCCUGCGUAAAGCUAAUCUGCGCAGGGUUAGUCGGCCCCUAAGGCGAGGGCGAAAGCCGUAGUCGAUGGGAAGCAGGUUAAUAUUCCUGCACCAGCUGGUAGUGACGGAUGAAGUAAAUUGUGAGUUCUUACUGGAUUGAACUUGCAGUGAAUUUGUCCCUGGAAAUAGCUCCAGCAUUAGACCGUACCAAAACCGACACAGGUAGGAAGGUAGAGUAUACCAAGGCGCUUGAGAGAACUAUGUUGAAGGAACUCGGCAAAUUACACUUGUAACUUCGGGAUAAAAGUGACCUGCUAUUGGGCAACCAGUAGGAGGUGGCACAGAAGAGGGGGUAGCGACUGUUUACUAAAAACAUAGCACUAUGCAAAGUCGAGAGACGACGUAUAUGGUGUGACGCCUGCCCGGUGCCGGAAGGUUAAUAGGAGGGGUGCAAGCUCCGAAUUGAAGCCCCGGUGAACGGCGGCCGUAACUAUAACGGUCCUAAGGUAGCGAAAUUCCUUGUCGGGUAAGUUCCGACCUGCACGAAUGGCGUAACGAUUUCCCCACUGUCUCCAACAUAGACUCAGUGAAAUUGAAUUCUCGGUUAAGAUGCCGAGUAACCGUGGUUAGACGGAAAGACCCCGUGCACCUUUACUGCAGCUUUGUAUUGGUAUUAGGGGACAGAUGUGUAGCAUAGGUGGGAGACUUUGAAGGAUUGGCGCUAGCCAGUCUGGAGUCACCAGUGAAAUACCACUCUUCUGUUCCUUGAUGCCUAACCAUACACCGUUAUCCGGUGUUGGGACCAUGCAUGGUGGGCAGUUUGACUGGGGCGGUCGCCUCCCAAAGAGUAACGGAGGCGCGCGAUGGUAGGC